rnacentral:rRNA from 1 species
AUGCAAGUCGAGCGAGAAAGCCCGCAAGGGUGAGUAAAGCGGCGCACGGGGUGAGUAACACGUGGGUAAUCUGCCCUGGAGUCCGGAAUAACCCGCCGAAAGGCGUGCUAAUGCCGGAUAAGACCACGGGAGCCUCGGCUCCUGGGGGAAAAGUGGCCUCUGUAUACAAGCUAUCGUUCCAGGAUGAGCCCCGCGUCCCAUCAGCUCGUUGGCGGGGUAAUGGCCCACCAAGGCUACGACGGGUAGCUGGUCUGAGAGGACGAUCAGCCACACUGGAACUGAGACACGGUCCAGACUCCUACGGGAGGCAGCAGUGGGAAUCUUGCGCAAUGGGCGAAAGCCUGACGCAGCAACGCCGCGUGUGUGAUGAAGGUCUUCGGAUCGUAAAGCACUGUCGCGAGGGACGAAUAAGGCCUCGGCCAACACCCGGGGACGAUGACGGUACCUCGAAAGGAAGCACCGGCUAACUCUGUGCCAGCAGCCGCGGUAA